GUGCUAUAAUGGGGAAGAAGUUCUUUGAAAUCAGUGAAUGAAGUAGGGGAAGUAGGUGUGAAUCCUACACAGCCCCUUGCUACUGUAUGGCCGUGUGCUAAGUCAGAUUACCUACUUGAUUGAUCGAAUAUGU
rnacentral:ncRNA from 2 species